rnacentral:rRNA from 1 species
GACGAACGCUGGCGGCGUGCUUAACACAUGCAAGUCGAACGGUAAGGCCCUUCGGGGUACACGAGUGGCGAACGGGUGAGUAACACGUGGGUGAUCUGCCCUGCACUUCGGGAUAAGCCUGGGAAACUGGGUCUAAUACCGGAUAGGACCACUGCCUGCAUGGGUGGUGGUGGAAAGCUUUUGCGGUGUGGGAUGGGCCCGCGGCCUAUCAGCUUGUGGGUGGGGUGAUGGCCUACCAAGGCGACGACGGGUAGCCGGCCUGAGAGGGUGACCGGCCACACUGGGACUGAGAUACGGCCCAGACUCCUACGGGAGGCAGCAGUGGGGAAUAUUGCACAAUGGGCGCAAGCCUGACGCAGCGACGCCGCGUGAGGGAUGACGGCCUUCGGGUUGUAAACCUCUUUCAGCACCGACGAAGCGCAAGUGACGGUAGGUGCAGAAGAAGGACCGGCCAACUACGUGCCAGCCGCCGCUGUAA